UUCGUUUCGGUGUUUUAACAACAAGAAAAAAUGCUGCAACUAAAGCUUCAAUUUUUGGCUGUCGUCUCUAUAAUUCUGAUGGUACUUUCUAACGCCGAUGCCGAUAAGCCAAAGUGUGCUGAUUUAGCCGACUAUUAUCAUCCAUAU